GACGAACGCUGGCGGCGUGCCUAAUACAUGCAAGUAGAACGCUGAAGAGAGGAGCUUGCUCUUCUUGGAUGAGUUGCGAACGGGUGAGUAACGCGUAGGUAACCUGCCUUGUAGCGGGGGAUAACUAUUGGAAACGAUAGCUAAUACCGCAUAACAAUGAAUGACACAUGUCAUUUAUUUGAAAGGGGCAAUUGCUCCACUACAAGAUGGACCUGCGUUGUAUUAGCUAGUAGGUGAGGUAACGGCUCACCUAGGCGACGAUACAUAGCCGACCUGAGAGGGUGAUCGGCCACACUGGGACUGAGACACGGCCCAGACUCCUACGGGAGGCAGCAGUAGGGAAUCUUCGGCAAUGGACGGAAGUCUGACCGAGCAACGCCGCGUGAGUGAAGAAGGUUUUCGGAUCGUAAAGCUCUGUUGUAAGAGAAGAACGAGUGUGAGAGUGGAAAGUUCACACUGUGACGGUAUCUUACCAGAAAGGGACGGCUAACUACGUGCCAGCAGCCGCGGUAAUACGUAGGUCCCGAGCGUUGUCCGGAUUUAUUGGGCGUAAAGCGAGCGCAGGCGGUUAGAUAAGUCUGAAGUUAAAGGCUGUGGCUUAACCAUAGUACGCUUUGGAAACUGUUUAACUUGAGUGCAAGAGGGGAGAGUGGAAUUCCAUGUGUAGCGGUGAAAUGCGUAGAUAUAUGGAGGAACACCGGUGGCGAAAGCGGCUCUCUGGCUUGUAACUGACGCUGAGGCUCGAAAGCGUGGGGAGCAAACAGG
rnacentral:rRNA from 1 species